rnacentral:rRNA from 1 species
AGCAGUAGCCGCGGGAAUACCGAGGGUGCGAGCGUUAAUCGGAUUUACUGGGCGUAAAGCGUGCGUAGGCGGCUUCUUAAGUCGGAUGUGAAAUCCCUGAGCUUAACUUAGGAAUUGCAUUCGAUACUGGGAAGCUAGAGUAUGGGAGAGGAUGGUAGAAUUCCAGGUGUAGCGGUGAAAUGCGUAGAGAUCUGGAGGAAUACCGAUGGCGAAGGCAGCCAUCUGGCCUAAUACUGACGCUGAGGUACGAAAGCAUGGGGAGCAAACAGGAUUAGAUACCCCAGUAGUCCCUGUCUCUUAUAA